rnacentral:rRNA from 1 species
UACGUAGGGGGCAAGCGUUGUCCGGAAUCAUUGGGCGUAAAGCGCGCGUAGGCGGCCCGGUAAGUCCGCUGUGAAAGUCCAGGGCUCAACCCUGGAAAGCCGGUGGAUACUGUCGGGCUAGAGUCCGGAAGAGGCGAGUGGAAUUCCUGGUGUAGCGGUGGAAUGCGCAGAUAUCAGGAGGAACACCGAUGGCGAAGGCAGCUCGCUGGGCCGGUACUGACGCUGAGGCGCGAAAGCGUGGGGAGCGAACAGG